rnacentral:rRNA from 1 species
GUAUCCCGCUCGGAUGAACGCUAGCGGCAGGCCUAACACAUGCAAGUCGAGGGGUAGAGUUAGCUUGCUAACUUGAGACCGGCGCACGGGUGCGUAACGCGUAUGCAAUCUACCUUAUACAAAGGGAUAGCCCAGAGAAAUUUGGAUUAAUACCUUAUAGUAUGUUUGAAUGGCAUCAUUUAAACAUUAAAGUUCCAACGGUAUAAGAUGAGCAUGCGUCCCAUUAGUUAGUUGGUAAGGUAACGGCUUACCAAGACAAUGAUGGGUAGGGGUCCUGAGAGGGAGAUCCCCCACACUGGUACUGAGACACGGACCAGACUCCUACGGGAGGCAGCAGUGAGGAAUAUUGGUCAAUGGGCGCAAGCCUGAACCAGCCAUGCCGCGUGCAGGAUGACGGUCCUAUGGAUUGUAAACUGCUUUUAUACAGGAAGAAACACUCCCUCGUGAGGGAGCUUGACGGUACUGUAGGAAUAAGGAUCGGCUAACUCCGUGCCAGCAGCCGCGGUAAUACGGAGGAUCCAAGCGUUAUCCGGAAUCAUUGGGUUUAAAGGGUCCGUAGGCGGUUUAAUAAGUCAGUGGUGAAAGCCUAUCGCUUAACGAUAGAACGGCCAUUGAUACUGUUAGACUUGAAUUAGUGGGAAGUAACUAGAAUAUGUAGUGUAGCGGUGAAAUGCUUAGAUAUUACAUGGAAUACCAAUUGCGAAGGCAGGUUACUAUCACUAUAUUGACGCUGAUGGACGAAAGCGUGGGGAGCGAACAGGAUUAGAUACCCUGGUAGUCCACGCCGUAAACGAUGGAUACUAGCUGUUCUGGAGCAAUCUGAGUGGCUAAGCGAAAGUGAUAAGUAUCCCACCUGGGGAGUACGUUCGCAAGAAUGAAACUCAAAGGAAUUGACGGGGGCCCGCACAAGCGGAGGAGCAUGUGGUUUAAUUCGAUGAUACGCGAGGAACCUUACCAGGGCUUAAAUGGGAGACGACAGUUUGGGAAACCAGAUUUUCUUCGGACGUCUUUCAAGGUGCUGCAUGGUUGUCGUCAGCUCGUGCCGUGAGGUGUCAGGUUAAGUCCUAUAACGAGCGCAACCCCUAUUGUUAGUUGCCAGCGGGUCAUGCCGGGAACUCUAACAAGACUGCCGGUGCAAACCGUGAGGAAGGUGGGGAUGACGUCAAAUCAUCACGGCCCUUACGUCCUGGGCUACACACGUGCUACAAUGGGCGGUACAGAGAGCAGCCACUACGCAAGUAGGCGCGAAUCUUCAAAACCGUUCUCAGUUCGGAUCGGAGUCUGCAACUCGACUCCGUGAAGCUGGAUUCGCUAGUAAUCGCAUAUCAGCCAUGAUGCGGUGAAUACGUUCCCGGGCCUUGUACACACCGCCCGUCAAGCCAUGGAAGCUGGGGGUACCUGAAGUCGGUGACCGCAAGGAGCUGCCUAGGGUAAAACUGGUAACUGGGGCUAAGUCGAAGGGGGAACCCCCCAAAAAAGGUGGGCCCCCCCC